ensembl:lncRNA
GCAAAGGGAAGGUGAUCAGAAGGAGGGGAGGUGAUGGCAACAAAGUUGAAGAGAUGACAUUUGGGCUCCAGCAACCAGCAACAGUCGGAGCCCCAGGCUCUCCUCGAAAGUCAAUUAGCAGACUUGGAAGGACUCCAAAGAUGCUUCUCUUCCACAGCUGUUUCUGAUGGAUAUAUUUUUUAUGAAUCUGUUAUUUGUGAUUACUGAAAAAAUAAAAAUAAAGCAGAAGAGGCCAGGCACAAAGGCAGGCAGAUCUGAGUUCAAGGUCAGCCAGGAGCAUUGUAAGACCCUAUCUCAAAAGGAAAAAUAGGCAGGGCAGUGGUGGCACACGCCUUUAGUCCUAGCACUCGGGAAGCAGAGGCAUGCGCCACUGUUAGACCCAGGAAAACUCAGGCCUCUGGGGUCUCACCCCAGGACAACGGUCACCUCAAUCACCAGGCAGAUUCAAGAAAGCUUGAUGCAAACAGCAUGAGGCUUUAUUGUUGUUUAACAAGCUAACCCCAUGUUAGCUCGGGUCUUUCACCCACCGCCAUGGCUGAUGGCUAGAAAAGACAGCUCGGCUGCAUAGAGAUCUUGUAGGGCAGUGUAAGGGGAGUGUCUAGGGGUACACACAGGCUCAGGAUUGGUGUGCCUCCAGGCUUGGAAGGCUUGCCCUGUGUUGAUUGGCCAACUGGUUGUUAUGGCCCAUAGGUCCUCCCAGGGUGGUUGCUAUGCUCUGUGCAUCAUUGCUGUGCACUUGUCCAUAAAGCACACCCAGUGCCGUAAAGCAUAGUGCCACCAGCUAACUUCUGAUUGGUUCCUUGCCACGAGGCAGGCACCUAACCUCUAGUGACCAAGGCAAAGUCAGAAAAGCAUGUGUUACUGUCAUGGCUGCCGAAAGGGGCAGGCAUCUGACCUUAGUGACUAAGACAAGGUCAGACAAAUACAUGUUCGGCUGUUAUGGCUGCUGAAAUGGGGAGCUGGUCCCUUCACCGCCUACGCCCGGCAUAAAUAAAAUCUUAAAAAAAAAAAAAGAUAUCCCUUGAAUUUCCCUCGGGUCAGGUUUGAAAUCCCGCUAUAGGGGCGGCACUCAGUUCGGACCCUGGGUCCUUUUUGGUUUCGGGACAGCUGUGUCCCCUUCAGGGACAGCAACUCCCACGGGCCGACAGUCAUCUGGAGAGGAGCUUUUGCCGGUUUUUCCACUUGCCUCACCCAUGGGAAAUGCAUAAGGAACCUUUCUGGUUGCAGCCAACAGGUGGGUAAACAGACAAAAAAAGCAGCUUAUGGUCACCGCCAUCUUGGCCAUAUGGUCUGACCUGAGGGCCGCCAUCUUGGCCAUGUGACCUACCUGUAGGCAUGCCCACUCCAGCAGCUUGUGCCAGCAAACCUGGCUGUUGGACUUUUGCUUUCUGUCAGAAUUCUUUUCUGCUUUCUUAUUUGUGUGUGUGUGUGUGUGUGAUUUUUUCUUUCACUGGCUCUGUUGCUCAUGGCUUGUUUACUAAAUACUGUGCCUUUCCAGGGCCCUCUGUUUAAGUCUGUUCUGUCCCUUUAAAUCUCCUGUCUGUUUACCACAAUGUAUGGAUCAGAGAAUACAUUCUGGUUCCCCCCUUUUACUCUUAACCAGUCCUACUUGUCUCUGCACAUGUAAUUUAAAUUUAACUUUAUACUAAUCUAACUCUAUAUACAACUUAAAUUAAACUGUGCUGUCUCAUAUUUCUAAAUUGCUAUUUAUCUUUAAGUGAUGGUAAACAUUUAAAGUCAUAAAGAUCUAAUUUAACUAUAUUUAAAAUAUAAGCUAACUCUAUACAACUUAAAUUUAACUCAUGUAUCUUUAAAUAUGAUGAAAGUUUAAAAUCAUAAAGGUCUAUUUCAAAUUAACAAAAUAUUUAUGCCACUCAGUUCAUCCUGUACGCCAUUUACAAAGGUAUAGCUUUUUAUUACAAAAGGGGAUUUUUCUCUAACUAAAGGCAAACUUUUGACUGCUGAGAUACUAAACAGCCCUCAAAUGUUCAGAGAUCUAGAGAACAUGACAUUUAAAAUGUUUUGUUAAAAAGCUUUCUAUAACAGAGAUAGUCCAGGUGCUGGCUCCACCCCAUUUCCUCCAAGAAGACUGAUGGGCACAGAAGAAACUUCAUCUCAAGUCAGUGACAACACUAGCCACUAAGCAACCCUGCCUUUCACCUCAGCUGCUACAAAGUACUCCAGACUGUGGAUAAGAGGAUAAUGGAAUCGACUUUCCCUGCAUUGUUUGGGCCAACGGUAGGUGAGCCUUCCUGUAGUCCAUAAUCCACAGGUCACAUGCUAACAGCAAGAAGGCAGGUGUCCUGCAGCCCGCUACUAUGGAUGGAGGACCUUGGGGGUAGCUGUCCAUGCAGCCUGCUGGCAAGCCUCUGUUAUUCUUUAAUCAUUGAUUCAGGUAAAAUCUUAUCCUUCUCAAGAACUCUGAUGCUUCUGAUGACUGGUAGUCUUGCCAGCUUAAAACAAAACAGAUUUCAGGAACAGCUUUUUUAGGGUUUAUCUAUGUGAAGACAGGAAAGUGUAUGAAGG